GAUGAACGCUGGCGGCGUGCCUAAUACAUGCAAGUCGAGCGAACGGACGAGAAGCUUGCUUCUCUGAUGUUAGCGGCGGACGGGUGAGUAACACGUGGAUAACCUACCUAUAAGACUGGGAUAACUUCGGGAAACCGGAGCUAAUACCGGAUAAUAUUUUGAACCGCAUGGUUCAAAAGUGAAAGACGGUCUUGCUGUCACUUAUAGAUGGAUCCGCGCUGCAUUAGCUAGUUGGUAAGGUAACGGCUUACCAAGGCAACGAUGCAUAGCCGACCUAAGAGGGUGAUCGGCCACACUGGAACUGAGACACGGUCCAGACUCCUACGGGAGGCAGCAGUAGGGAAUCCUCCGCAAUGGGCGAAAGCCUGACGGAGCAACGCCGCGUGAGUGAUGAAGGUCUUCGGAUCGUAAAACUCUGUUAUUAGGGAAGAACAUAUGUGUAAGUAACUGUGCACAUCUUGACGGUACCUAAUCAGAAAGCCACGGCUAACUACGUG
rnacentral:rRNA from 1 species